GAUAGAACUAAAUAGGAUUCCCUCAGUAAUGGCGAAUGAACAGGGAUCAGCUCAGCAUGGAAAUUGGGGCCUCUGGCCUUGAAUUGUAGUCUUGAGAUGGCUUCGCCAGCGGAGGCGCAGAUGUAAGCCUCUUGGAAAAGAGCAUCAAUGAGGGUGAGAGUCCCGUUUGUCAUCUGCAGUCCCCCGUGCACGGCUUGCUUUCUAAGAGUCACGUUCCUUGGGAUUGGAGCGCAAAUUGGGUGGUAAAUUUCAUCUAAAGCUAAAUAUUGGUUCGAGACCGAUAGCAAACAAGUACCAUGAGGGAAAGGUGAAAAGGACUUUGAAAAGAGAGUUAAAAGUGCCUGAAAUUGCUGAAAGGGAAGCGAAUGGAACCAGUUUUUCUUGGCGAGAUUGUUGCGUGCUAAUGUGAUGGCUUGUUGCUUCAACGCAAGUGUUGCAGCGGGUUUUGAUCUGGACGUGCGCGGUGCUUCUUGCCUUGUGUGUCAACGUCGGUUCAGACUUGAGGAAAACUCCAGGGACAUGGUAAGUCACUUCUGGGUGACUGAAAGUGCUUGGCAGAACUCAUUUCUGAACUGAACUCCGCAUGUCUGGUCGCAGUGCUCUCAUUUCCCAUGUCUCGUUCGGAGCUUUGCGCUCUGACCUGGGCUGGGGCGUGGGGCAUCUCCCUGACAUCAGUACGAUGACAAAAUGGUUUUAUUCGACCCGUCUUGAAACACGGACCAAGGAGUCUAACAUAUGUGCAAGUUCACGGGUGUUAAACCUGCUUGCGCAAUGAAAGUGACUGCUGGGAUAUUUGCACCAGCAACCGACCAAUCAAUUGUGAGAGGUUUGAGUAUGAGCAUAUCUGUUAGGACCCGAAAGAUGGUGAACUAUGCCUGAGAAGGGCGAAGUCAGGGGAAACUCUGAUGGAGGCUCGUAGCGAUACUGACGUGCAAAUCGUUCGUCAUACUUGGGUAUAGGGGCGAAAGA
rnacentral:rRNA from 1 species